rnacentral:lncRNA from 1 species
GAACAAGUUAAAUUAUUUUUUAUAUUUAAUUAAUUAAUUAAUAUAUUUUUAUUAUAUUAUAUAAUAUUUAUAGCUAAUAAAUUUAUUAAUUUAUUUUUAAUUAUUAUUUUGAUGUUAAUUAAUUAGAUAAAAUUUUAAUUUAAAAUUAUAAUUCUUAUUCCUUCUGUUCCAAUCUAAUCAUUCAAAUACUAUUACCUUAUUUCCAAGACCAAUCCAAUUUUCACUCAAAUACAAAAUUGGUUUAGUUUCUGCUUAUAUCUGAACGUAUACUUAUCUCUGAAAUAAUCAGUUUUUACUUAUAUCCGAACCAAACAAAAUAGCUUAAGCUAAUAGAGAAUAAUAUUUUUAUAUGUAACAAGAAGCGC